ensembl:lncRNA
UCAGAGGGUGGGUCAGGUGGUUGGGGUGAGAACUUGCUCACGGUGCACCCAACAAGACCUGCAGGUGCAUAUUAGUCCCAACUGCAGGGCCAGACCGAACACUUCCUGGGAAGUGUGUGGAGGGCUCUGCUAGAUCUUCCUGAGUUUCUGGCUAAAUCAUCAUCCCAGUUUGGUGCAGUCUCAUGUCUCUGUGGUUCCCAAGCUGCAUGAUCAGAGCCAGUGCGAAGACAGGGUCAGUGACCCACAGCUUUGGGGAAAAACAGCCCCACUGUUAACUUCCCUCCGCAAACCUGGGUCCCCAGGCCAUAAGGUGGGCACACUGGUGCUUACAGAAUGGGUGGAGGGCCCUACCUUCCAAGGCCUUGAUCCCAGCCUGCCUAUAAGGUUGGGAUUAGCAUGCAAUCCCCCUUCCCCAAUCCUGUCUUUUUAAAAUCUCAAGUUUGCACUUAACCUUGACAAUCAGCACCCUCUCCUACUCCAGUCCUAGAACUCAGUGGCCUUAGAGAAUGGGGUACCCUGCACUGAAGGUCCCUGCCUUGCUCCCAGUUCCAUCCUGGCCAAUAGGCUGAGCCUCAAGAGGUGAAAGAGAAAAAGGGAGGGAGGGAGGAAGAAUUAUUUAGAACAAAAGGAUGGCUCGAGCACGUCAGAGGCAAGUGAGAGGCACGUUGGUGAGAAGAGCAUGUGCAUGUUUGGGGUAGCUGGGGCCUACUGUCCCUUCAUUAGGGAAGGAGGCUUCCAGAAGAGGAUGUCUUCUAGAAAGAAAAAUUGUGUGAAGGCUGAAAAGGGGUUUGGAGUUUUGUCUUUGUUGAUUAGAAAGAAGGAAGAAGUCCGUUCUCAGUGUUUCAGGAAGAAAAGAGCAGGUAGAAAGGGAAUUUAAUGAUUUAACACACAAGGGUCCAGCCACAGCAGGUUGGAAAAUCCUCCAAAUUUGGCCACAGAAGCUGGCUAGGAAAAAACUGCCACUCAUUGGGCCACACGCUGGGUCCCCAUCAGUUCUCAAUGAAUGGUCAUUGAUUUACUUAGCAGAGAGGAGAAGUCACCAGCCACAAACCAAUCUUUGAGUUUGCAGGCCCUGAUUCCAGAAUAUAUGCAUCCAGCUCCCGGGUUCUCAGCUGGUUUUGCCCACUUCCCUUUGACUGUCCAAUCCAAAGCUAGUUUCUCAAGUUGUAUGGCUCAAAGACCAGUGACCACAAUGGGUCAUACAGUAGAGACCCACCUCCACAAAUUAGAACCAGGGUUCAGACUCCAUUGGGCACAUCUGGGAGGAAGGCAACCUCCUUUGUCGUCCUGUUGGUACCAGUCAUUCUCAAGUAUCUCCGACACCUGUGGUGGUUCAGUUUGCUGAGCCUGCCACCUGGUAUGAAUUAGACUGGGUGUGAUGAACAUUCAUCCAUGGAUAUACCCUGCCAUUUUGCAGUGCCUUAUAACUAAGGCACACUCCCCAUAAGAGUUUACUGCAGAGAAAGAACAGCAAAACAGGCACCCUCCUUGAAUUUACAACUCAUUAUCUGCAACAGGUUUUCUUUAAAUCCAAAACACAGGAUGGGAAAUGGGUUUCCCGGCCAGGUACUCAGAGGUCUGCAGGAAGUGACUCCCAGGCAAGGCAGACUUCAGUAAUCCCUGAAGCGUGAGCAUGUGGACUGCAUGGCUGGGUAGGGACUGGUGGACGUCUCUGGAGCUCCAGAACCUUGGAGAAUUCCUCAUGGAAUUCCCCUCCCAGCUCUUAGUGGGCUCUGUGGGGUCAGGAGGAGCCCUUCCUCCAGGUUUUCCUUCUUUCCUCCUCAGCAGAGAAACUGGAGAAAGGACAUCAAACUCAGUGCAGUCAAUUUGAGUGCUGAAAUAUUUCCAGAAUCAAUGGUGGUGCUAAACUAUCUCCAUGUUUCUAACAUUUUUAAUAGUGGAGUUGGUUUGUUUUUAAUCUCAUCACAAAAAUGCAGUGCCCUUGGGGAAGGGACCAGCCCCUUGGCCUGCCACUUUCCAGGUGUCCUUUAUCACUUUGACGGGACUCUUUGGUCUGCAGAAAAUGCUCUGUCUUGGCAUGCUUCUAGACUGUAAGAUUUGGGUUUUGUUUUGUAUUUUGUUUAUGUUUACAUGUAUCUUAUAUUUCCCUGAAAACUAAAUAAAGUUUUGGGCCUUUUUAA